GUGGCUCACCAGAAGCUGCACAAAGCAUAAAUGAAUCAACAACUUAAUCUUUAUCAAAGAAUACAACUUCCUCCAAGAAGUGUUGCGUUAGUGUCCUUGAAAAGAAUUACAUUAUAAUUGGAGCCUAAUUACAACUAGUACUGGAAUUUGGACUUAAAUGUAGCUUUAUCAUGGAGAUCCAUUUCACUGGUAAUUCUAAUGUCAGC
rnacentral:misc_RNA from 1 species